CAGAGGUCCCAAGCGUUGUUCGGAUUCACUGGGCGUAAAGGGUGCGUAGGUGGUGAGGUAAGUCGGAUGUGAAAUCUCCAGGCUCAACCUGGAAAUGGCAUCGGAAACUACCUUGCUCGAGGUUUGGAGGGGGGACUGGAAUACUUGGUGUAGCAGUGAAAUGCGUAGAUAUCAAGUGGAACACCAGUGGCGAAGGCGAGUCCCUGGACAAAACCUGACACUGAGGCACGAAAGCUAGGGGAGCAAACAGGAUUAGAUACCCUGGUAGUCCUAGCUGUAAACGGUGCUUAUUUGCUGUAAAAGGAAUCGACCCCUUUUGUGGCGUAGCCAACGCGUUAAAUAAGCCGCCUGGGAAGUACGGUCGCAAGAUUA
rnacentral:rRNA from 1 species